AACGAACGCUGGCGGCAUGCCUAACACAUGCAAGUCGAACGAGACCUUCGGGUCUAGUGGCGCACGGGUGCGUAACGCGUGGGAACCUGCCCUUAGGUUCGGAAUAACUCCCCGAAAGGGGUGCUAAUAUCGGAUAAUGUCUUCGGACCAAAGAUUUAUCGCCUUUGGAUGGGCCCGCGUUGGAUUAGCUAGUUGGUAGGGUAAAAGCCUACGAAGGCGACGAUCCAUAGCUGGUCUGAGAGGAUGAUCAGCCACACUGGGACUGAGACACGGCCCAGACUACUACGGGAGGCAGCAGUGGGGAAUAUUGGACAAUGGGCGAAAGCCUGAUCCAGCAAUGCCGCGUGAGUGAUGAAGGCCUGAGAGUUGUAAAGCUCUUCUACCCGGGAUGAUAAUGACAGUACCGGAAGAAUAAGCUCCGGCUAACUCCGUG
rnacentral:rRNA from 1 species